UAUGUAGAGGUGCAAAAGUCAAAAGUAACUGUCGUGCAAGCCGUCGCGAAGCGUUGCGGCAGUGAAAGGGGCGAUUGCCGAAGAGCCCGAGGCGCAAGGGCAUCUGGCUUAGCGGAGAAUAUCCGUUCGGCUGUCACUUAUGUGGAGAGCUACA
rnacentral:ncRNA from 1 species